rnacentral:lncRNA from 1 species
UUGUUCUAGGCAAGACACAUGCUUUUUUUUCUCUUCCUUCCUUCUUCCUUCUUCCCUGCCACCUUUAUUCCUUUUUUGGUUUAUCUUAGAAAUGAUUUAAGGCAACAUGGGCCCUUGAUCUGUGAGGAGGUGAGGCAGGACUGUUACUCUGUUCUGUGGAAUUCUAGAAACUUAUUUUGGGACUUUGGAGGUAUUCGCUUUUUCCUAAGCUCUCAGAAUCAUUUUUGAGAAGCAGCCGAUGCUGCUAGCCAGAACAGCUGUGAGAAGCGCAGCGUCUAGGAUGGCCUCUUUGCCGACACCCUGGGAUGGGUGCAUGCUUCCUCAUGUUUUAGAGAGAACUGAGGCUCUCAGCUCUCCCUGUGUGCUGGGAUGCCGUCUGUGACUUGCCUGAGAAAAUACCUAUGGAAUGAGUGUGAGGGCCUCAUGAGGUCACGUCCACGAAAGCACUGGGAGCUCGUCAGAGGAGAAGGGCACUCUGAGGCCACAUAGUCGGUAAUCAGACUUCCCUUUGGUCCACAUCUCUGCCCUGGCUGCCAGGAUUCACAGUGUGCAGAGGGACUGGGCCGUUGCUCCAGCCGCUCCAGCAGGUUAGCAGGCUCUGUGCCACUGUCCCCAGAGAAGUCUCCCUGAGUGGGGUCUGUGGGCUCUUCUCUCGGUCCCACCUUCAACACC